rnacentral:ncRNA from 2 species
ACUCUAAGCGGUGGAUCACUCGG